rnacentral:rRNA from 1 species
CCUACGGGAGGCAGCAGUGGGGGAUAUUGCACAAUGGGGGAAACCCUGAUGCAGCGACGCCGCGUGGGUGAAGAAGCGCCUCGGCGCGUAAAGCCCUGUCAGCAGGGAAGCAAAUGACGGUACCUGAAGAAGAAGCGCCGGCUAACUACGUGCCAGCAGCCGCGGUAAUAGGGAGGGGGCAAGCGUUAACCGGGUUUACUGGGUGGAAAGGGGGCGCAGACGGUGAUGCAGGCCAGGAGUGAAAGCGCGGGGCCCAACCCCGGGACUGCUCUUGGAACUGCGUGGCUAGAGUGCAGGAGGGGCAGGCGGAAUUCCUGGUGUAGCGGUGAAAUGCGUAGAUAUCAGGAGGAACACCGGUGGCGAAGGCGGCCUGCUGGACUGCAACUGACGUUGAGGCCCGAAAGCGUGGGGAGCAAACAGGAUUAGAUAUCCUGGUAGUC